rnacentral:lncRNA from 1 species
GAUCCCUGCAGAUCCCGGGGCUGAGAGCACCGCGCAGCGCCAGCGCGCCGAGCCCGGGGCGGACCGAGCCGAGAGAGCAAGCGCGCGCGGGCGGCAGACCGAGCUGAGCCGAGCCGGCCGGGCGGGCCGCUCCCUGCAGGGCUCUACGCGGGUGCCGCGGCGGCCGGCGGCUCGGGUUCCGGGCCAUGAGCCCCUCCGCGGCGCGGCGCUGAGUCCACGGACGGCCUCGCGCCCCAGGACCUGCAGCGGCGGCCGGCUUUCCCCAGCCCCCUCAGGAUCCCCUUGGCAAGGAUGGAAUUGAAGACCGAGGAGGAGGAGGUGGGUGGUGUCCAGCCGGUGAGCAUCCAGGCUUUCGCCAGCAGCUCCACGCUGCAUGGUCUUGCCCACAUCUUCUCCUAUGAGCGGCUGUCUCUGAAGCGGGCACUGUGGGCCCUGUGCUUCCUGGGUUCGCUGGCCGUCCUGCUGUGUGUGUGCACUGAGCGUGUGCAGUACUACUUCUGCUAUCACCACGUCACCAAGCU